UACGAAGGUUGCAAGCGUUACUCGGAAUUACUAGGCGUAAAGGGCAGGUAGGUGGUUUGGUAAGUCUAUUGUGAAAGCUCCCGGCUUAACUGGGAGAGGCCAAUGGAUACUGCCAAGCUUGAGUAUAGGAGAGGUUACUGGAAUUCCCGGUGUAGCGGUGAAAUGCGUAGAGAUCGGGAGGAACACCAGUGGCGAAGGCGGCUACCUGGACCAGCACUGACACUGAGGCACGAAAGCGUGGGGAGCAAACAGG
rnacentral:rRNA from 1 species